rnacentral:lncRNA from 1 species
UUUAAAAUUAAAUUAAUUGAAGUCAGGAAAAAUAAAUGUAUACUCCCAAGACACUGAGGUUACUAUGGCUAUCAGAGGAAAAGUAAAAUUUGUUUUAAAUUGAAGUAGCAUGUUUAUAAAAUCUUGUACAUCUUUAAAGAGCUUUCAACUAUUAUGUGCUUGUUAAUUUUGAAAAUAGAAUUUAUGCCCAGCAGGAUAAACAUAUAUGGUGACAUUUACAUACAUUAAAAAAAAAACACAGGUGUAUCAGGAGAGACUUUAAAUUACCUGAGUUGUGCUCUAGACUUGUCAGAGACAUGGUUUGUGCUUGACUUUGGAUGAGAGAAGUAUUUCCUACCACCCUCUUUCCUGCGGAUUGUCCACCAUUAGGACUUCACUUACCUACAUUGGAGGUGAGUUUCUGUACUCUUAGCCACUCCCUCCUUUCUGGAAUCCUAUGCCCUGCAGUCACUGCUUGGGUCAGAAAGGUCAUAGAAGGUCAUCUAGGUCUUAGAGCUCCAGGGCCAUCCUAGGGGUGAGAGAGAGAGAGACAGAGACAGAGAGACAGAGAGAGAGACAGAGGGGGGUGAGGGGGGUCAGAAAGGCAGAGAGAGCUGAACCGGCAGGUGGAGUAACUAUUCAAGUAGAUUGUCACCAGCAAUGGCACACUAGAAUAGUACAUUUUCAUUUAUCUGAAAACAGACACGAAGGAAUGUAAAGCCUGCGUCUACAACUCAUGUUCUGCAGUAUCAUCACUAAUAUCAUAGAACUGGAUCCGAGUGUUUGGUCAGGUUUGGGGGUUACUUUUGCAUUCCUGGGGAAAUCCCACAUUCCACAUGCAUGCUAUCCAUACUCAUUCUUACCACUGAGCCCUCCCGCUUUCCUCUUGAGGUCAAGUGCUCAUUCUCAGUGACAAUUCUAGUAGGAAAGAGUGCAAGGCACUGCCUUUCAUCCUCGGCAGGCAUCUCCUACAAAUAAAUGCUGGGCACAUUUCAAAGUGUCUUUGUUAUAGUAGCCACAUUUUUCAGGCAUGUAUGAGAACUGGCCUUAGAAAUUGGGUUUCAGUUUUAGACUGGUAACUAGUUCUUUGGUUUUGAACAAGUAAUUUACCUCUACCCAUUUCCUUAUUUGUAAAGUGAGGAAAAUAAUUCCCCAGACAGAUUAUUGCUAAUUGUUACGGAAUGAAGUGUAUGCAAAAAGCUUAUCCUUAAAAUGUAACUGAGGUGUAGUUUCUUCCCACUCAUACGGCAUGGCCCCAGCCCAGUCUUGUCAUGUGUCAGCCUCCUCCUAGUUUCACUACUUCUGUUAUCCUUGAAGAUCUUUCGAGAAAGCAGAAACUUUUCCUUCAGGCAGAAAUCAAAACAUCUAGCUCAAAACCCUCCAUAGUAUAGAAAAAUCCAGAAUCUUUCUAAUAGUCCACAAACAUGGCAGCCUUGAGAACUACAUUCUCUGCCUAGAACUCUUGUCUGCCCCAUCCCUCCACCUAGAAUCUUCUUAGCUCCUUCUGUUUCCUUAGUCUCUGUUUUUUAAACAGAGACUAUUUAUUACAAAGUGUUGUAAAUACUAAGCUCUGUUCCUUGAGCAGUAUUACCUCAUAUUUUUUCUUAGUUCCUGCCAUUUAAUUGUUGCAUCUUUCUCCUAUGAGUACAUCAACUGCAGAGGACAAACUUACCUGUCACCAUUUGUGACUGUCCUCACCCUAGAGGAAGGAAAAGGCUUGAUAAAGUGUGCACAUCAUAUAAACAUCAUAUAAGGGCAUGAACAAGUGAGCAGACAUAUGCUGGGCUUCAGGGGACAUCUGGCUUCUAGCUCAUUCUCUUUAAUCAGAAGUAGUUGUACCCUACUGGCUUCCAAAACACCUUUGUUCCCAGGUCCCGCCACGCAUGCCGUGGGAGCUUUGGGAGUUUGCUUCUAUCUUUCUCCUCCAGCACGUGUCUGUGGCCCUGGCGUUACUAUAGGUUGAGGAGAUGAGUGGCCUUGCUCUUGUGGGGCCUUCUUCACCACUAGGGCUUAUUCUAGGGUGUAGGAAAGGCCUUAGUCAGCAUCCAGUGGUUCUUCUGGGUCUUUCAAACACAAACUACAAACCAGAAUGAGAGGAUGGAGGGAGUUCCACUAGGGAAGAGUGACUCCGCCUAAGUGUGUCUCUCAUUAAUAUUUUCAUCAGUUUAUUUUGCAAGUCUCAUUAGGCUAGACAUUUCACAAGGUUUUGUUGACUUUGUUUUCCAAAAAUAUAUUCAGACACUAAUCAUAAUUGCUUACUUAAGUACAUCUAGCCUGGAGGAGUUUUGGUGAGCUUGCAUUGGGAGAACAGCAUAUCAUUGUGGACAUAAAGUUGCACCUCUUGUUUUUGUUCAGAGGAAGAAAAGGAAAUUAGACUGUAAGCACCCCCCCCCCCCCCAGUAAGCUGGGUGCUGCCCUGGACCCACUGACUGCCUCCGAAGUCUGUCUGGAUUCAUAUUAGGAAGUAUGCUCAGUAAUAUGGAUUUUGAAAGGAUGUGAAGUAUUUUAUAGCAUAAAAUUGUCCUGCUUUUACUAAGAUAUAAAUAGUAUCUUAAUGCAAUGGGAUUAAAUAGACUUGUUAUUUUUUAACCUUUUGUUUAAUAGUUCUGUGAAACAGAAAGUUCCUCCAAGCUUGACUGAUUUUGACUUUGUUUGUUGAUAGU